rnacentral:rRNA from 1 species
AGUGAACGCUGGCGGUAGGCCUAACACAUGCAAGUCGAACGGCAGCACAGGAGAGCUUGCUCUCUGGGUGGCGAGUGGCGGACGGGUGAGGAAUACAUCGGAAUCUACUUUUUCGUGGGGGAUAACGUAGGGAAACUUACGCUAAUACCGCAUACGACCUACGGGUGAAAGCAGGGGAUCUUCGGACCUUGCGCGAUUGAAUGAGCCGAUGUCGGAUUAGCUAGUUGGCGGGGUAAAGGCCCACCAAGGCGACGAUCCGUAGCUGGUCUGGGAGGACGAUCAGCCACACUGGAACUGAGACGCGGUCCAGACUCUUACGGGAGGCAGCAGUGGGGAAUAUUGGACAAUGGGCGCAAGCCUGAUCCAGCCAUACCGAGUGGGUGAAGAAGGCCUUCGGGUUGUAAAGCCCUUUUGUUGGGAAAGAAAUCCAGCUGGUUAAUACCCGGUUGGGAUGACGGUACCCAAAGAAUAAGCACCGGCUAACUUCGUGCCAGCAGCCGCCGUAA